rnacentral:rRNA from 1 species
CUAACGUCCGUCGUGAAGAGGGAAACAACCCAGACCGCCAGCUAAGGUCCCAAAGUCAUGGUUAAGUGGGAAACGAUGUGGGAAGGCCCAGACAGCCAGGAUGUUGGCUUAGAAGCAGCCAUCAUUUAAAGAAAGCGUAAUAGCUCACUGGUCGAGUCGGCCUGCGCGGAAGAUGUAACGGGGCUAAACCAUGCACCGAAGCUGCGGCAGCGACACUAUGUGUUGUUGGGUAGGGGAGCGUUCUGUAAGCCUGUGAAGGUGUGCUGUGAGGCAUGCUGGAGGUAUCAGAAGUGCGAAUGCUGACAUAAGUAACGAUAAAGCGGGUGAAAAGCCCGCUCGCCGGAAGACCAAGGGUUCCUGUCCAACGUUAAUCGGGGCAGGGUGAGUCGACCCCUAAGGCGAGGCCGAAAGGCGUAGUCGAUGGGAAACAGGUUAAUAUUCCUGUACUUGGUGUUACUGCGAAGGGGGGACGGAGAAGGCUAUGUUGGCCGGGCGACGGUUGUCCCGGUUUAAGCGUGUAGGCUGAUUUUCCAGGCAAAUCCGGAAAAUCAAGGCUGAGGCGUGAUGACGAGGCACUACGGUGCUGAAGCAACAAAUGCCCUGCUUCCAGGAAAAGCCUCUAAGCAUCAGGUAACAUCAAAUCGUACCCCAAACCGACACAGGUGGUCAGGUAGAGAAUACCAAGGCGCUUGAGAGAACUCGGGUGAAGGAACUAGGCAAAAUGGUGCCGUAACUUCGGGAGAAGGCACGCUGAUAUGUAGGUGAAGCGACUUGCUCGUGGAGCUGAAAUCAGUCGAAGAUACCAGCUGGCUGCAACUGUUUAUUAAAAACACAGCACUGUGCAAACACGAAAGUGGACGUAUACGGUGUGACGCCUGCCCGGUGCCGGAAGGUUAAUUGAUGGGGUUAGCGGUAACGCGAAGCUCUUGAUCGAAGCCCCGGUAAACGGCGGCCGUAACUAUAACGGUCCUAAGGUAGCGAAAUUCCUUGUCGGGUAAGUUCCGACCUGCACGAAUGGCGUAAUGAUGGCCAGGCUGUCUCCACCCGAGACUCAGUGAAAUUGAACUCGCUGUGAAGAUGCAGUGUACCCGCGGCAAGACGGAAAGACCCCGUGAACCUUUACUAUAGCUUGACACUGAACAUUGAGCCUUGAUGUGUAGGAUAGGUGGGAGGCUUUGAAGUGUGGACGCCAGUCUGCAUGGAGCCGACCUUGAAAUACCACCCUUUAAUGUUUGAUGUUCUAACGUUGGCCCGUUAUCCGGGUUGCGGACAGUGUCUGGUGGGUAGUUUGACUGGGGCGGUCUCCUCCUAAAGAGUAACGGAGGAGCACGAAGGUUGGCUAAUCCUGGUCGGACAUCAGGAGGUUAGUGCAAUGGCAUAAGCCAGCUUGACUGCGAGCGUGACGGCGCGAGCAGGUGCGAAAGCAGGUCAUAGUGAUCCGGUGGUUCUGAAUGGAAGGGCCAUCGCUCAACGGAUAAAAGGUACUCCGGGGAUAACAGGCUGAUACCGCCCAAGAGUUCAUAUCGACGGCGGUGUUUGGCACCUCGAUGUCGGCUCAUCACAUCCUGGGGCUGAAGUAGGUCCCAAGGGUAUGGCUGUUCGCCAUUUAAAGUGGUACGCGAGCUGGGUUUAGAACGUCGUGAGACAGUUCGGUCCCUAUCUGCCGUGGGCGCUGGAGAACUGAGGGGGGCUGCUCCUAGUACGAGAGGACCGGAGUGGACGCAUCACUGGUGUUCGGGUUGUCAUGCCAAUGGCACUGCC